AUUGAACGCUGGCGGCAGGCCUAACACAUGCAAGUCGAGCGAGCGGCGGACGGGUGAUUAAUGUCUGGGAAACUGCCUGAUGGAGGGGGAUAACUACUGGAAACGGUAGCUAAUACCGCAUACCAUUAGAUGUGCCCAGAUGGGAUUGGCUAGUAGGUGGGGUAACGGCUCACCUAGGCGACGAUCCCUAGCUGGUCUGAGAGGUUGACCAGCCACACUGGAACUGAGACACGGUCCAGAACCCUACGGGAGCGAGCAGUGGGGAAUAUUGCACAAUGGGCGCAAGCCUGAUGCAGCAAUGCCGCGUGGGGGAAGAAGGCCUGCGGGUUGUAAAGCACGUUUAGCAGGAAUGCGUUACCCGCAGAAUAAGCACCGGCUAACGCCGUGCCAGCAGCCGCGGUAAUAC
rnacentral:rRNA from 1 species